GAUGAACGCUGGCGGCGUGCCUAAUACAUGCAAGUCGAGCGAACAGACGAGGAGCUUGCUCCUUUGACGUUAGCGGCGGACGGGUGAGUAACACGUGGGUAACCUACCUAUAAGACUGGGAUAACUUCGGGAAACCGGAGCUAAUACCGGAUAAUAUUUCGAACCGCAUGGUUCGAUAGUAAAAGAUGGCUUUGCUAUCCCUUAUAGAUGGACCUGCGCCGUAUUAGCUAGUUGGUAAGGUAACGGCUUACCAAGGCAACGAUACGUAGCCGACCUGAGAGGGUGAUCGGCCACACUGGAACUGAGACACGGUCCAGACUCCUACGGGAGGCAGCAGUAGGGAAUCUUCCGCAAUGGGCGAAAGCCUGACGGAGCAACGCCGCGUGAGUGAUGAAGGUCUUCGGAUCGUAAAACUCUGUUAUUAGGGAAGAACAAACGUGUAAGUAACUGUGCACGUCUUGACGGUACCUAAUCAGAAAGCCACGGCUAACUACGUG
rnacentral:rRNA from 1 species